rnacentral:rRNA from 1 species
GAUGAACACUGGCGGCGUGCCUAAUACAUGCAAGUCGAGCGAACGGACGAGAAGCUUGCUUUUCUGAUGUUAGCGGCGGACGGGUGAGUAACACGUGGAUAACCUACCUAUAAGACUGUGAUAACUUCGGGAAACCGGAGCUAAUACCGGAUAAUAUUUUGAACCGCAUGGUUCAAAAGUGAAAGACGGUCUUGCUGUCACUUAUAGAUGGAUCCGCGCUGCAUUAGCUAGUUGGUAAGGUAACGGCUUACCAAGGCAACGAUGCAUAGCCGACCUGAGAGGGUGAUCGGCCACACUGGAACUGAGACACGGUCCAGACUCCUACGGGAGGCAGCAGUAGGGAAUCUUCCGCAAUGGGCGAAAGCCUGACGGAGCAACGCCGCGUGAGUGAUGAAGGUCUUCGGAUCGUAAAACUCUGUUAUUAGGGAAGAACAUAUGUGUAAGUAACUGUGCACAUCUUGACGGUACCUAAUCAGAAAGCCACGGCUAACUACGUG